rnacentral:rRNA from 1 species
AUGCCUUAGCGGGUCUGAGAGGAUGAUCCGCCACACUGGGACUGAGACACGGCCCAGACUCCUACGGGAGGCAGCAGUGGGGAAUUUUGGCCAAUGGGGGCAACCCUGAUCCAGCCAUUCCGCGUGAGUGAAGAAGGCCUUCGGGUUGUAAAGCUCUUUCGGCAGGAACGAAACGACGGUCUCUAACACCGCCGGCAAUGACGUACCGCAGAGAC